AGUGAACGCUGGCGGUAGGCCUAACACAUGCAAGUCGAACGGCAGCACAGUAAGAGCUUGCUCUUACGGGUGGCGAGUGGCGGACGGGUGAGGAAUACAUCGUAAUCUACUUUUUCGUGGGGGAUAACGUAGGGAAACUUACGCUAAUACCGCAUACGACCUACGGGUGAAAGCAUGGGAUCUUCGGACCUUGCGCGAUUGAAUGAGCCGCUGUCGGAUUAGCUAGUUGGCUGGGUAAAGGCCCACCAAGGCGACGAUCCGUAGCUGGUCUGAGAGGAUGAUCAGCCACAUGGGAACGGAGACACGGUCCAGACUCCUACGGGAGGCAGCAGACGGGAAUGUUAGACAAUGGGCGCAAGCCUGAUCCAGCGAUACCGCGUGGGUGGAGAAGGCCUUCGGGUUGUAAAGCCCUUUUGUUGGGAAAGAAAAGCAGCAGGUUAAUACCCCGCUGGUCUGACGGUACCCAAAGAAUAAGCACCGGCUAACUUCGUG
rnacentral:rRNA from 1 species